AUAAUGCAGUCGAGCGACAGAGAAGGAGCUUGCUCCUUUGACGUUAGCGGCGGACGGGUGAGUAACACGUGGGCAACCUACCUUAUAGUUUGGGAUAACUCCGGGAAACCGGGGCUAAUACCGAAUAAUCUAUUUCACCUCAUGGUGAAAUACUGAAAGACGGUUUCGGCUGUCGCUAUAAGAUGGGCCCGCGGCGCAUUAGCUAGUUGGUGAGGUAACGGCUCACCAAGGCGACGAUGCGUAGCCGACCUGAGAGGGUGAUCGGCCACACUGGGACUGAGACACGGCCCAGACUCCUACGGGAGGCAGCAGUAGGGAAUCUUCCACAAUGGGCGAAAGCCUGAUGGAGCAACGCCGCGUGAGUGAAGAAGGUUUUCGGAUCGUAAAACUCUGUUGUAAGGGAAGAACAAGUACAGUAGUAACUGGCUGUACCUUGACGGUACCUUAUUAGAAAGCCACGGCUAACUACGUGCCAGCAGCCGCGGUAAUACGUAGGUGGCAAGCGUUGUCCGGAUUUAUUGGGCGUAAAGCGCGUGCAGGUGGUUUCUUAAGUCUGAUGUGAAAUCUCGCGGCUCAACCGCGAGCGGUCAUUGGAAACUGGGGAACUUGAGUGCAGAAGAGGAUAGUGGAAUUCCAAGUGUAGCGGUGAAAUGCGUAGAGAUUUGGAGGAACACCAGUGGCGAAGGCGACUGUCUGGUCUGUAACUGACACUGAGGCGCGAAAGCGUGGGGAGCAAACAGGAUUAGAUACCCUGGUAGUCCACGCCGUAAACGAUGAGUGCUAAGUGUUAGGGGGUUUCCGCCCCUUAGUGCUGCAGCUAACGCAUUAAGCACUCCGCCUGGGGAGUACG
rnacentral:rRNA from 1 species